GAAAUAACUGUUUCAGUGAAACUAAAAAGAAGUUCCUUAAUAGGUGAAAAUUCCUUUAAUUAAAUAUAAUAGACGAGAAGACCCUAAGAAUUAUACAUUAAAAUUGUAGACUUAUAAAAAUUUUUGUUGGGGCAACAGAUUUGGUUAAAUCAAUAAUUUAAAGAUUUGCACAUUAAAUAUAUUUAAUAAGAAUUUAAUUACCUUAGGGAUAACAGCAUUAUUAAUGUAUUAGAUUGUGACCUCGAUGUUGGACUAGGGACUUUUAAAGUAAGCCAUUUUAAAAGAUUGUUCUGUUCGAACAUAGAAC
rnacentral:rRNA from 1 species